CAUCUCCUCAAAAGUAUAUUUGCCUCUGCGAAUGUCAGACUCCACUCUGAGGCACAUCUAUCUGCAGGUUGAACAUGGCUUCCUGAAGCAGGUGCAUUAGGAGAACAGUUGAUGAGACUGUGCACUAUACAGUAUAAAGAUUGGUGAAUGGUCGGGAUUUCUCUCUAAGGAUUAGCCCUCUGACUCCCUGACCCUGUAACUCUGCGGUGAGAUCGGGUUAUGGCGAAGGUGACCACAGAUGGUAUCUAGAUGCAUGGAAGGGAUAAUUUGUCUGAGAACAGUGUGAACCUCACCCAUCUAACCGGCUGAAGUAAUGGCGACAAUGGCGUUUACUAUGGUUCUUCACCACUUCUACCGUGAGACCGGAGUCCAGGCCAGCAACCUGUACACAGCAUCCAGUCGCUAUCAACUGCCUUCUCUCUCAUGCCUUUUCACUCUGGAGUGCGCAAUGAGUCCAUGCGGAAUGAGCAUGGAGAGAGAUCCCAUCCAAACUUCUCUCAUGCUGCUGGUGUACUGGUAGGAAAAUGGACAAGACUUAAUGGUCUGUAAAGGACAGUGGUGGCUCAGGUGAGAAAAAUUAGGACAUUAUCAAGGGCCAUCCACUUUUAACAUGUGCCAUUGGGAGGUCGAACUGAAACGCUAGAAGAAUGAGUGCUGGGAGGGAAGGGGGUGGUCAGCCAUGCCCUCAAUUAAUUUAGACGUAUCCAAAUUUUGGGGUAUCAGGUUGAUUGUGGAGGUCCGCACACUGUGAAAGUUAUAGUACUUCAGACUAGAAAUGCAUUGAAAUACCGAUCGGUCAUUAACACGCCAAUCCAUAAAUACAAUUGUGUAAUGAAGCAUAUGUGUAACUGUAUGAAGUGAAGGUCUUAAACCAUGGUUUUGCAAGUUGGAUUGUACAACCAAGAAUGGAGGGUUUGAAAGUGUCUGUGGUUUUAUGCGUUGAUUUUGUUUACUUACUACUUUGAUUGUAGAUUUUAGCUUUGGUAUUAUGAUUAUGAUGUCACGGCUUCGGCCGAAGUCGAUCCCUCUCCUUGUUCGGGCGGUGUUCGGCGGUCGACGUCACCGGCCUUCUAGCCAUCAGUGAUCCAUUUUUGCAUUUUCUAUUAGUUUUGUCUUGUCUUCCUUCACACCUGGUUCCAAUCCCAUCAAUUACAUGUGUGUAUUUAACCCUCUGUUUCCCCUCAUGUCCUUGUCAGAGAUUGUUUGUUUGUAUGUGAUGUGCAUGUAUUAUGUUGGUGUGCGACUGGUUUUGUACCCACUUUUGUUAUUUUGUACAUUUGUUUUUGGAGUUUUAUCAGCAUUUAUUUAACAACAACGUUUUUACCAAGUUCGUACUCCUGUGCCUGACUUCCCUGCCACCAACACACACCCAUUACAUAUGAAUGCAAUUAGAUUCACUCCUGUUAAGUAAAACCUUUAUUAUGAUUUAUGACAAUGAUGUAUUUUGAUACAGAAGCUAAAAUCUAAUGCUUACCUUAACAUUUUAUGAUUAUUAUCACACACGUGAUAAGCAGAUGGAAUGUGAUAUCUUGCAAAGAGACAGCCUUGAAAAUGUUCACAUUGUCUUAGUGGCAUAACCAAUCCUUGGUUCCUGCCUGUGCUUGGUAAAGAUAUGAGGGGGGAGACAUGACACCCUCCUGAGGAACAUCUGUCAGAACGACCAGAAUUUGUUCUAAGAUAGGAGACGGUGCCAGACAAAUGCCGGAACCAACCCUAUGAAACAUGCCUAUGUAACGUGUCUGUAACCAGUAUAUAAGAGAUUUAACGGGACUGCCCCGAGAGAGCUCCUGAUCGACAUGUGUACUUGGUGCAUUUAGUUGGUUGGAACCUCUUAGUAACAUUUUAUUAAUUUGGUUAUUCCAUAAACUAUCAAAUGAGUAAGUAAACAAAAUCAACGCAUAAAACCACACACUUUCAAACCCAAAAUCAACACACAAAACCAAAGACAAACCCUUCAUUCUGGUUUGCACAAUCCAACUUGUAUAACUAUUGCAGUAGAAUGUUUUAACUUAAGACCUUCGCUUCAUACAGUUACACAUAUGCUUCAUUACACAAUUUCAUUUAUGGAUACUGGCAAUGACAUUUCAGCAUGUUAAUGACAGAUUAGUAUCUCAAUGCAUUUGUGUAAAUAACAAUACAUUUUGUAGAGUGCAGACCUCCAAAUGUCAAAGAGAAUAACACACUGCUGAAACCUUUUUUUUGCAAAUUGGCUUGUACUCCCCUAUCACAUUGGGGACCUCACUGCAGUUACAGGGUCAGGGAGUUGAAGGCUAAUUCAUCCAGCAGACCCAAUCUGGUGAGAUUUGUAUUGAAGCAAGACAAAAACAAAAAACAAAACAGCAGCAAUACACUUCUUCAUAUAAAACACAUAUCCUUUACCCAAACACGCUCUCUGUCUGUAAGGUUACCUGCUUUGGUUCACAUGGCAGUCUCAUCACUGUCUGUUAGCAAUCCACAAACCCAACAAUCUGAUACAUGCUGUAGUACAGAGACAUUACUAGCUAUUAGUAAGAAAGUGUUUGCCCCCGGGAAACUGUCGGGUUCACCUAGGGGUCUUGAAAAGGGUAGUACCAAAAUGUUUGAUGUAUGAGAAUAAUGUAUUAUUCUUAUGUUGAAUUAAUACAAAGGGAGGGGUUAUAAGACCUCUCCCUCCUUACAUUAAUAGGGUCCUAGACUACAGAUGAACAAUAAAUAUACAUUAUGAGGUUUUAAUAUUGUUCCACAGUUGUUUUCUAAUUCUCUCUCUCUGCCUCAUUAUAAAGAGGCCCCUCUGAGUAAUGUGUGACUGUGGAGAAGGAGCUCUGCAGGGGAGUGGAGGAGAUAAGACGAGUCAAACAUUCCACGAUAAAUCAACUUUGGGGAGUGGAUGUUUACUGCUAAGUUUUAGAUAACAUUAAAAGCCAUUGUUUAUAUAACUUGGUAGGCAGGGUGUUGGUCUCAGGAGUAAAAAGGUAAUGACGUAGGUAGUGACAUCACCAGGCUAGACUGAGGGUGUAACAAAUCAACUUGAGACUUUUUGUUUGAUGCAGAACUUACUCUGAAACAUGCGCGGUAAGUUACUUAAUUGUCAACUUCUGUCUGCAAUUGCAUUAAUAAAAGGUUUUUGAAUUAUUUA